UGCGUAGGCGGGCUAAUAAGUCAGUGGUGAAAUCUCUCGGCUCAACCGGGAAACUGCCAUUGAUACUGUUAGUCUUGAGUUCGGUUGAGGUAGGCGGAAUGUGUAAUGUAGCGGUGAAAUGCUUAGAUAUCACACAGAACACCAAUUGCGUAGGCAGCUUACUAGACCGACACUGACGCUGAGGCACGAAAGCGUGGGGAGCGAACAGGAUUAGAUACCCUGGUAGUCC
rnacentral:rRNA from 1 species